AUGGUUCACAUCGGCGACGGUUGCAGCGCGAGCUUCUGGAACUCCUCUUGGCUGGAUGGGAUCAGGCCGAAAGACAUUGCACCCGCUCUCUACGACAUCUCUAAGAAAAAGACGUGCACAGUCCAAAAGGCACUCCUGAACAAUUUCUGGGUCAGCCAAAUAAACACCCAGCACGGCCUAUCCUUGGGGCACAUCCAGGAGUUCGCCCUCCUUUGGGAAAGGGUGUCUACGAUCAACCUUGUUGCGGGUGUCCGUGAUACUAUCCUAUGGAAGCUCACUACAAGUGGCGAGUAUUCCGCUUCUUCGGCCUACAUGGCGCAGUUCGAGGGCCAUCUCAGGAGCAACAUGAACAUGUCCGUUUGGAAAGCUUGGGCUCCUCCCAAGUGCAAGUUUUUUGCUUGGCUCGUCAUCCAGAAUCGUGUUUGGACAGCGGACAGGCUGCAGCGUCGGGGCUGGCCCAAUUGUGGGCUCUGCCCUUUAUGCAAUGCUAUCAUUGCGGGCUGGCGUUACGAAAUUUCUGUAAAGGAAUGGUGGUUCAAGACUAUCCUAGAUAGGGGGCCCCCGAGGAAGGCUCUGGCCUCCAUGCUCAUGCUUGUUUCCUGGGAACUCUGGAAUGAGCUCAAUGCAGGAGUUUUUAGGAAUGUCAUUACCACGGUGACCAUGGUCACUGCUAGGAUAAAGGAGGAGGCUCGUAUUUGGGCGCUUGCAAGCGCUAGACACCUCUGUAAUGUAAUGCCGCGAGAGUAG
rnacentral:rRNA from 1 species